UAUUGCUGUGUGAUGGACAUGUCAAUC
rnacentral:sRNA from 1 species